GACGAACCGUGCAAACGUUAUUCGGAAUCACUGGGCUUAAAGGGCGCGUAGGCGGGCCAUCAAGUCAGGGGUGAAAUCCUCCGGCUCAACCGGAGAACAGCUUCUGAUACUGGUGGUCUCGAGUGGGGUAGGGGCAUGUGGAACUUCCGGUGGAGCGGUGAAAUGCGUAGAUAUCGGGAGGAACACUGGUGGCGAAGGCGGAUCUCUGGGCCUUACCUGACGCUCAGGUGCGAAAGCUAGGGGAGCGAACAGG
rnacentral:rRNA from 1 species